rnacentral:lncRNA from 1 species
UUUGCAGGCCUUUAUCGUAUUGUCUGCUCUAAAUCCCUAGGUGUCAGCCUCAUUUUCAAAGGGCGUAGUCUCAGCUGUGCUUUAGGGAUUAGGAGAGCCUCUGAAGUCUCCCCCUUGGGCUCAGCCAUGUGGUCAGCGCAGCAGCCUGAAGAACAGUGAGAAGCAGAGAGAGCAGUCCAGACGGUGGGGAGGCAAAGAGCAAGACCAGAGAUUGGAAUGUGUCAGCUGACUCAGGACUGAGCAGAAGACAGAGGAGGUGCCUGAGCUUCAGCAUUCUGGGCGUGUGACGGGUCAAUCCCAUCCGGAAAUACUAAUUCUGCUAUUUGAAGGCUCUCUGAUCUUGAGAUGUCAUUAAAACUCCCUGAGACUCAGUUUACCCAUCUGCAACAUGGAGGACAAGAUUGAGGAUAUACUGCAUGGUUCGGACCAGAUGAACCGUGAAUGUGCCUAUGGAAGUCACAUCUUUGAAAACACUGUCAACAGAACAAUAAUGGGAUCACUUCUCAUUGGAAGUCGCCUAAAGAAAUAUCUGGUGGCAUUCUUCUAAUUGUUUAAGAUUUUUCGUUUUGAAAACAAACAUGGAAGAUGUCAGUGAGCUAAACCAGGAGAAUAAGGAGAUUGCAGUAUUUUGCAUGGAAAAUUGGGAAGUAUAGGAAAUGGCAACUUCAAAGUGGAGGAGACUGAGGGUUCAUGUCUCUGGACCUAGGAGAAGGAAGUAGAGAAAAUGAGAACCUCUCCUGAGACAGAGAAGAAAUCCUUAACUCUAAGCAUAUAGGAAGGCGAUAUAGGUCCCAAAUGUUCACCUUGCUGUUAUUCAAGUCCUUCAAAUAUAGAUGCUAAAAUGCUCUAUCAUCCAGCUGAACAUCAGAAAAACAACGAAAGCAUAUUUUAACCGAAGUAGUAUGAACUCCACUCUCCAAAUAUUCAACAAAUAUGUCGUUAUCUAAGGAUAUUUCUUGUAUGGACACAUCUUCCCCAGGGCAAAUGCCUUAGUCCAUUUUUUGUAGUGCUGUUAAUAGUCCAGAAUAUUUCACCUGAGACUGGUUAGACAGAUCUUAUUGGCUCACAGUUCCGGAGCUGGGAAGACCAAUAUCGAGAUUCAAAUACCUACCAAGGCCCUGUGAGAGAGGCUGAAAGGGGGCUGAAUUCCCCUUUUAUAAUAACAUCAAUUCCACCUUAAGGAUGGAGCCCUCAUGGUCAGAUCCCAUUUUAAAGGUUUCACCUCUUAAGACUUUUACAUCGGCAAUUAAAUGUCAGCAUGAGUUUUGAAGGAUAAGAACAUCCAAAUCAUAGCAGUAAAGAGGGGCUGGGGAUGUGGCUCAAGUGGUAGUGCGCUCGCCUGGCAUGUGUGCGGCCCGGGUUCAAUCCUCAGCACCACAUACAAACAAAGAUGUUGUGUCCGCUGAAAACUAAGAAAUAAAUAUUUAAA